AUUGAACGCUGGCGGCAGGCCUAACACAUGCAAGUCGAGCGAGCGGCGGACGGGUGAGUAAUGUCUGGGAAACUGCCUGAUGGAGGGGGAUAACUACUGGAAACGGUAGCUCAUACCGCAUACCAUCAGAGGUGCCCAUAUGGGCUUAGCUAGUAGGUGGGGUAAUGGCUCACCUAGGCGACGAUCCCUAGCUGGUCUGAGAGGAUGAACAGCCACACUGGAACUGAGACACGGGCCAGACUCCUACGUGAGGCAGCAGUGGGGAAUAUUGCACAAUGGGCGCAAGCCUGAUGCAGCCAUGCCGCGUGUAUGAAGAAGGCCUUCGGGUUGUAAAGUACUGUCAGCGGGGAGGCGUUACCCGCAGAAGAAGCACCGGCUAACUCCGUGCCAGCAGCCGCGGUAAUAC
rnacentral:rRNA from 1 species